UAACACAUGCAAGUCGAACGAAGUAGCAAUACUUAGUGGCAGACGGGUGAGUAACAUGUAGGUAUCUGCCCUUUGGCCUGGAAUAACACGAGGAAACUUGUGCUAAUACCGGAUAAGUCUUUACGGAGAAAGCUUUAUGCACCAUUGGAUGAGCCUGCACUUGAUUAGUUUGUUGGUGGGGUAAUGGCCUACCAUUACUGUGAUCAAUAGCUGAUUUGAGAGGAUGAUCAGCCACAUUGGGACUGAGACACGGCCCAAACUCCUACGGGAGGCAGCAGUGGGGAAUCUUGCACAAUGGAGGAAACUCUGAUGCAGCGAUGCCGCGUGAGUGAAGAAGGCCUUUGGGUUGUAAAGCUCUUUCGUCGGGGAAGAAAAUGACUGUACCCGAAUAAGAAGGUCCGGCUAACUUCGUGCCAGCAGCCGCGGUAAUACGAAGGGACCUAGCGUAGUUCGGAAUUACUGGGCUUAAAGAGUUCGUAGGUGGUUGAAAAAGUUAGUGGUGAAAUCCCAGAGCUUAACUCUGGAACUGCCAUUAAAACUUUUCAGCUAGAGUAUGAUAGAGGAAAGCAGAAUUUCUAGUGUAGAGGUGAAAUUCG
rnacentral:rRNA from 1 species